GGAUUCCCUAGCUCGGACGCCGAAGUCACGUCGUCUUUUACAGUUUGCUGCUCUGUCCCUGCCACACCGGCCGAUGGCACAGAGAACCCAGCAGAUGCAUCCCUCCUGCCCGCGCCCCCGGGGCCUCGCCUCCCUGGGCCAGGAGAGGGCGGCAGAGGAGAGAGCGUGAGCGCGGCCAGGAGCCCUCCCCAGCGCCCGGCGUGGCAUCUCUGGGACCCGGAGCAGGAGGCCUCGGAAUCGCUGUGGCCCCCACGGCCCUGGCCGCACCCUCCGUGGGAGAAGAAGCCGGUGGACACAUGAGACCAGAGGCCGCAGGCUGUGGGGCGCAGGGAGGUGCCAGUGUGACCACCUGCCGUCUGCAGGUGGACUUCCCUUCCCAGCAAAGUCAGCAGGGGCCCUGGAGACGCUGCAUCGCUGUGCGACGUGCCCGCUGACGAGGGGCAGGGACCCCGAGGGGACGCAGCUGAGGUCGGAGAAGGCAGAGGACACUCGGGAAGGGACGGGCCGCGUUUCGCUUCUCUCCUCCCGUGUGGACAGGCCGCGAGGUGGCCUCCGCCUCCGGCUGCGGUGCACGGCGCUGCCGUGCAGGGGCGCGUGCGGAUGCUCUUCCAGGACCUGCGCGCAUCCCGCUGGGGCUGCUACCGCGCAGGACAGCGGGACCAGACGGCGCCCGUGCGGUUGACUCCGCCAGGAACUGCCACACCGGCUCCCGGCUUUGCCCGCUUUGUACUUUAUGUGGGAGGACCUGCCGGUGCUCAUGCCACGCGUCUGGCUUCCUGCGUGUGACGCUGUUCAGGAGAUUCCUGUGGGUCGUUGCGCACAACUGAAGCCUGGUUCUUUGCCGUUGUACAAACAUACAAUUUACCAAGCAGUUGUUCAUGAGCAGCGGGGCUGUAACCAGCUUGGGGCUGUUAGGGACGGCGCCGCCCCGCUGCCCACGGGAGCAGGUGCACCAGUGAACCCACGCGUGCACUUCCCGGGGGAACAAGAUGCAGCAGGAGUGGCGGCUCCGGGACGUGCAUGCAGUUCGGCUGCAUUUGCAUCAGGCGCACAAGCAGGGUUCCCUCGGAGGGAGGCGGUGCUGGUGUUGAAUGAACACAGCAACGACACCGAGGUUAACCGCAGCGUGAGUGUCCACGGAGAGCUUCGGAGGCGGCCCCUCAGGCUGUGAAGCCGACGGGGCGGCCACGGCCAUCUGUCCGAUGUUUCGGGUCAGGGCGGAACCAGGAGGUUCGGGGCUUCCCCUGCGUCCGCCACUGGUGGGUGUGGAGCCCGGGCCAAAGCCGAGGGCGCCGUGCCACGCGUCCAGUCUUCAUCCGUGUCCUCUGCCUCUCCAUCGCCGGCAUCGCCUUAAAAAAAAAAAAACACCAGUUUUCAUUGCAAGGGAAAUACCUGUGACUUGUCUCACUGCAGCUCCCGGGCUCUUUCCUCCUCUGUUACGACAACUGGCAGCGAGAGGAUGUGCCCGUCUUUCUCCCCUGCGUUUGCCAUCCCGUGUCUGUUCAAGGGCCUGCCUCUUUGCGCUACGAUCCCAAAUAACUGCACCGAACAUGAUCUGCAGAACAAAGCCAGUGGGAACGGACAGAGGAGCAUCUGCAGGAGCGCGAGGAAACUGGCCGGCCUGUCUUGUAACCUCUUCCGACCUGCGGGAGGGCUACGGAGGCCCUUUGGUCACCUGAGAGAUUUGCCGGGACGGCCACUGUCCACGUGCCUUGACCAUCUGCGCAUGCGACGCUUCACUCCUCCCUUCCAAACGGUGUUCGCACCUGCCCACUGUGUCUGUGACUCUCGGCCGUGCUCGUGGUCACACUCCCUGUCGAUACAUGUUCCACGGCACUUCCGGUGGCUUCAUUCUCCCAGGUGCACGCGGGCUGGUUCCAGAUUCAGCGGUCAUACGUGGUGACCAUCCUUGCAUGCAAAUCCUCACGCAGGAACGUAUUUUUUAGGACGUAUUUCUAUGAAUUAUAUUGGGAUUUUGGUUCAUUGUGUCCAAAUGCACCCCUUUGCCCGGCCUUCCCAUCCUCAAAAAAAAAAAAAAAACAAAACAAAAAAA
rnacentral:lncRNA from 1 species